CCUACGGGUGGCAGUAGUGAGGAAUAUUUGUCAAUGGACGAGAGUCUGAACCAGCCAAGUAGCGUGAAGGAUGACUGCCCUAUGGGUUGUAAACUUCGUUUAUAUAGGAAUAAAAUGUUCCACGUGUGGGAUUUUGUAUGUACCAUAUGAAUAAGGAUCGGAUAACUCCGUGCAAGCAGCCGCGGUAAUACGGAGGCUCCGCGCGUUAUCCGGAUUUAUUGGGGUUAAAGGGAGCGUAGGUGGAUUUUGAAGUCCGUUGUGAAAGUUAGCGGCUCAACCGUAAAAUUGCAGUUGAAACUGGCAGUCUUGAGUACAGUAGAGGUGGGCGGAAUUCGUGGUGUAGCGGUGAAAUGCUUAGAUAUCACGAAGAACUCCGAUUGCGAAGGCAGCUCACUGGACUGCAACUGACACUGAGGCUCGAAAGUGUGGGUAUCAAACAGGAUUAGAUACCCUUGUAGUC
rnacentral:rRNA from 1 species